rnacentral:rRNA from 1 species
CAGUACCUACGGGAGGCAGCAGUGAGGAAUAUUGGUCAAUGGACGAGAGUCUGAACCAGCCAAGUAGCGUGAAGGAUGACUGCCCUAUGGGUUGUAAACUUCUUUUAUAUGGGAAUAAAAUGUUCCACGUGUGGGAUUUUGUAUGUACCAUAUGAAUAAGGAUCGGCUAACUCCGUGCCAGCAGCCGCGGUAAUACGGAGGAUCCGAGCGUUAUCCGGAUUUAUUGGGUUUAAAGGGAGCGUAGGUGGAUUGUUAAGUAAGUUGUGUAAGUGUGCGGCUCAACCGUAAAAUU